GAUAAAACAUCUUCACAAACUUAAAGAAGUCCAGUUUCCUUCUCUUUUUUCAAGCUCUUAAGACCAGGCUCUAGGUUUUCAUCAACUAUCUGAUCACAUGACAGCCUGUAUUUGCAGGCCAGUGUUUCCAGUUCAAGUUCAAGGUGAGGGUAGAUGUAUCCAUGGGCUAGAAGCAGAGUACAUCCCAGACAGGUCAUCAUUCUGUCACAGGGCUUGCAAGAGGAAAAGACUCAAAUUCACACCUACAACCACUUCUUAGAAUCAUCAAUUUUCCUACUGCAUACUCAUGUUUUUUGACUGUGGGAGGAAGCUGUAGUACCCAGGGAACAUCCGACUCCACAUAGACCGGUCCAAGCCUGGAUUUGGGUCUUCUCACUGUGAGGCAACAGUAGUAACCCCCACAUCAGCAUACUGCCCAUCCCACAGUUAUCGUUUCCUUUUUAAAACAUGAUGUUUUCCUUCCUAUAAUCCCGCCCUGUGCUUGUAACACAUUAUAUGCUGCCAACAUGACAUUGUUUCUAUCGUUUCCAUGUGAUCGCCACAGUCACGAGAUUGGACCUGGCGAAAAUUAAUAAAAUCUUGAGGGAUCAAUUUGCAAAGACUGCGAUAAAACCAUGACUACACAGAAUCAGUCUGCCAUCAGUUUGUGAUUGAAUGGGAUUACUUUGGCAGUUAUCCAUACAUUGUUAAAAUUCCUUGGUAAAUUGGUAAAAUCUGCAAUUCGGUUGCCAUCUACAUAAACAGGAAGUCACAUUAACUACUUUCAUUCAGAGUACAACCAGAAACUCAUAGAUCUGGAGCAGAAAUUCAGAAACUCAAACUCCACAAAUAGCGACUCAUUUCCUGCAGGAUGGUGAUUGAACUACAAAAAUGAUAUGGGCACUAUGCUAUCUUGCUUUUAUAUAAGAUUAUAACCAGAAAACAACCAGCUGUCCACGAUUGCAAACAUAUGCAAUGAAGAGGUUGUGCUAAUUGGUGCAGACUGACUAGGAUUGAUUGCAACAUGUUGACAAUCUGUGUUUAUAAGUUACACAGCAAUUAUUUGCAGAGCUUAACCAACCUGUCUGAGAGUGAUUGCAGUUAGUGUAAGUCAUACCACAACUGUUUGGAGACAGGUAGCCUCCACGGUCAAUUGGUCACCCAAUUGUUCCUAGUUGCAAGGAGGUUCCUGUCCUAUUUUGUAGUGUGACUGAGCCAUUAGGAGGAUUACAGAUGGUAGACUGAGUAAAAUCAUGAGUGUGAUGAACUUGCUUCAUGGUGCUGGUGUGCUCAUCUUCAUCUCACUAUUACUAAAUGCUCAUAAUUUUGAUCUCCCGGAGUAUCAGAGCAUCUGCUCGGUCUAGUGUUCUCUUUCCCAGAAGUACCUACAGCACCUAAAGCAAGGCUAAAUCAAUAGCAUGUACAGGUUAAUAGCAGCAGUGUUUUUUUAAGCUGGCACAUCAACUAUUAAUUAGCUGGUGAUUAGCGUCAGCUGGAAAAAAUGAUUCCCAGCCUGAGGAGGCUAUCGUCCUUGUGCUCUGAAAGGAUAAAUCAACCUGUAUUAAAGAGGGUGAUAGUGGUGUGUUUGUGUGUCCUUUAUGGAAAAAUAACAGAAUGCACGAGGAGCAUGGAAUAACAAUUUAAAAUGAAAUCCCGGCAUGAGUGUCUGACCUGACUGAAACACAUGUUAGAUGUUUUUCAAACUGUAAACACAUGAUCUCUGUAUUCAUGUUCUGGAGUUUGUUCUUUUCAGAAAUGAAAUAAAAGCACUUUACCCGAGGACACAAUCAUGG
rnacentral:lncRNA from 1 species